UCACUUUGUUAUACAGCAGAAACUAACAAUGUAAAGCAAUUACACUCCAGUAAAGAUGUUUUAAAAAAGAAAAGAAAAGAAAAGAAACUCCUGUUUUAGGAGCCUGGUGCUUUAGGUGUGAGGGAGCCCAGGCAUGAAUGCCACAGCCCCCCGCCUGGCACCGGUUACAGGGCUGCUGUGGAAGGGGGGGGGGCCUUAGAAAAACCCAGAGGGUGGCCAAAAAUCCCUUGGUGAUCUCCAGGCUGGACAGCUCGCUGCAGGCUGGGAUCCUCUGGGGUCCUGGUCACCUGGGCUCCAGGUCACUUGCUUGAAUGAUCUGGGGAGAUGUUCCAGGACAAACCCCGAUGAAAAUCCACAAAGUGAAACUGUCACCAGAGAAACUGACCCGCCUGCCUUUCAGCCAUUUGGGGCUCUGGCUUGAUUUUCCUAAGCAAGGCGGGGCUCCUUGAAUAUAUUAUCGUAUAUAUAUGACCCAUGUGCAUUUUUUCUGCUAUAAAGAGUUAGAAGAAUCUGUGUCAGGGUGUAACCUAGCAGGACCCUAUGGGACCUUCCUGGGACAGCCUUCCCCCAUAUCCUCUGCUUCAGCUCCUCUCUGAAGUACCUAGAUAACAGUUCGAUGCGCAUUUUCUGAGUUGUUUCACAGAUGUGAAAACCCCCCACCAAAUGAAAGAUAUUGACUACAGUAUUUGAUAACCAUGAGCACACAGCCCCCAGGCCUCCUGGAGCCUAAGGACUGAUAAUGUUAACCCCUGUGACACCACCCUGUUACCUCACCAUCAACCAGAGAGUUGUGCACGAGCUGAUUGCAUACCUUGCAAACCCCCUCCCACAUCUGGCUUUAUUUUUUAUUUUUUAUUUUUUUUUUGCGGUACGCGGGCGUCUCGCUGUUGUGGCCUCUCCCGUCGCGGAGCACAGGCUCCGGACGCGCAGGCUCAGCGGCCACGGCUCACGGGCCCAGCCGCUCCGCGGCAUGUGGGAUCUUCCCGGACCGGAGCACGAACCCGCGUCCCCUGCAUCGGCAGGCGGACUCUCAACCACUGCGCCACCAGGGAAGCCCUCAUCUGGCUUUUAAAAAUUCUUUGCCGAAAAUUUUCGGAGAGCUCAGGGGUUUUUUUGGGGCCUGAGCCACCUGUCUCCUGGCUUGGCCCUGCAAUAAACCUUUCUCUGCUCCAAACUCCAACGUUUCGGUUUGUUUGGCCUCACUGUGCAUGGGGCACACAAACUUGUGCUAACAGGUGCGGAGAGUAGGGGAGAGGCUUGAUCAGAUCUGCAGAUCACUGCCUCGCCCUCCACUCCAACCCGCUUACGAAAUGUCAGUCACUGAGUCAGUGACAGCGGUUGAGGGGCUCCCAUGGCCAGGAAGUUCGCACGUGGGGAAAUCUGCUCAGUGCUCUCCGGGCAGAAGAGGCCUUUCCCUCAAGUGGAAUCCCAGCUCCGUCCCCUCUACCAGCCUGGAAAAUGCCCGGGAUUGUGCCUCCCUCGGACGCUGUGAGAAUCAAGUAAAGGCAGAACAAGGUACUUAGCACCUAGUGGGUGAUCAACAGUUGUUAUUGGUGUUACUAUUAUUAUUAGACUACACUUCGCCACAUCAUUUCAUGUAAUCCUUUGGCUCACGCCUGGAGGUGGGCGUUAUUCGAGCCCUCAUUUUACAGGGGGGCAAACUGAGGCUCAGAGAGGUGCAUCUGUUUGCCCAAGGGCACACAGCUAGUCUCGGGAAAUGGCUCAGGCAGUGCCGCUUCCCCUGAGGAUAAGGAGAGCCAGAUAAAAGCCGUAGAUGUGCUUUGCAGUGGGGCUGGCAGGGAGCUCAGAGAACAUCUCAGUGAAGUUGAGGUUCUAUUUUUCUGCCAACAUUUUAUUAUAAACAAUUUUUUUAAAUGCAGUGGUUUUAAAACACUCUAAUAUGGAAGGUUGUCUUCAGAUAAACUCUUGCACAGAAGCAGGGCACGUGACACAGAGCCCUAAGGUGCUCUGGCUGGAGGGAGCCGGAGGUGGGGGGGUCCCUUCCCUCUGAGUCCCUAGGGCUCCACAGAGCACAGUGCGAAGACCGUGAUUCAGCCCACCCACCCCCCAUUUCACAAGAGAAGAGGCACGAAGGUCACCUACCAGGAAGUGGAAAAGCCAGACUCCAUGUCCACGUUUUCUGAAGUCACACUAAUUACCUAGAGAAACGCUAUGAUCGUUCUGUUAAAUUUGGAAUCAUGUAACUAGACUUACUGUGAUCACUUUGUAAUGCAGACAAAUAUUGAAUUAUUAGGUUGUACACCUGAAACUAAUAUAACGUUAUAUACCAAUUUUUCCUCAGAAAAAAGAAACUGGAAUCAUGCUGUAGCUCUGGAGGUCAGAAUUCCAAAAUGAGCCUCAAGGGGCUCAAAUCAAGGUAUGAGGAGGGCUGGUUCCUUCUGGAGGCUCCAGGAAGAAUCCGAUUCCUUGCCCUUUCCAGCUUCCAGAAGCUGCCUGCGUCCUUUGACUUGUGGCCUCUCCCCGCAUCUUCAAAGCCGGCAGCUAGCAUCUUCUCUCCCCCUCCCCCGAUCCUCCUGCUUCCUUCUUUUUUUUUUUUGCGGUACGCGGGCCUCUCACUGUUGUGGCCUCUCCCUCUGCGGAGCACAGGCUCCGGACGCGCAGGCUCAGCGGCUCACGGGCCCAGCCGCUCCGCGGCAUGUGGGAUCUUCCCGGACCGGGGCGCGAACCCGGUUCCCCUGCAUCGGCAGGCGGACUCUCAACCACUGCGCCACCAGGAAAACCCCUCCUGCUUCCUUCUUACAGGACCCUUCUAAUCACAUCGGACCCACCCAGAUAAUCCAGGCUGCGGCACUGAGAUGGCUACCUGACUUUCACAGGCUGUGAAGGGACAGCUCCACGUCUGUGAAUUCAAUGUGAAAUGCAUCCGCCUGCAGAAGAAAGGCCUGGAGAGACUGUCUUAAGUGAAGGCUGGAGCAGCGCUGUCCACUGGUAGAACUUUCUGCAGCGAUCAACUCAACAAGUCAGCAAGCGUUCCUUGGGCGCCCCCUGCAGGUAGAUAGGAAUCUGUCACUUGUCCUUCCCCGCAGCCAAAAUCUGUGACUGGAGGUGACUCCAAGCAGUGCUUAGAAAACUGGAAAAAUAGGGUCACACACAGGAAAGAGAGAAAAAAAUCCAGGAAGAAGUUGCUUUCAGUUCAACAUCCGUGUCAGUUUGUAUCAUUAAAAAACUGAAGUUAUAUUUUACAAUAUAGCUUUUUUUUUUUUCACUUUGAAUUUCGGAAGAUAUCUUUUUGAUGCUUAGAGCACUGGCCCUGGCUGGUGUCCAACGACUCAGCAAUCUUUCUGGAAAUCUACCUGCGGAUACACACAUACAUGUGUGCUAAAACACACACGUAUAUGUGCUCACUGCUGCAUUGAUUGUAGCAGGGAAAAAAUGCAGCUAACCAAAUGGCCCUCAGUACAGGAUGGCUAAAUAAA